rnacentral:rRNA from 1 species
GCAAGUCGAACGAACAAUCUUCCUUCGGGAAGUGCGUUAGUGGCGAACGGGUGAGGAACACGUAAGAAACCUGCCCCAAAGACGAGGAUAACUAUUGGAAACGAUAGCUAAUACUGGAUAGGACAUUUGAUCGCAUGAUCUUAUGUUUAAAGGUGCUUUCAAGCACCGCUAUGGGAUGGUCUUGCGCAGCAUUAGCUAGUUGGUAAGGUAACGGCUUACCAAGGCGACGAUGCUUAGCUGGUCUGAGAGGAUGAAC